rnacentral:antisense_RNA from 1 species
UGUGGGAGCGAGCUUGCUCGCGAUCGCGGUAUGUCAGCCCCAUAAAUUUCGGCUGACCCACCGUAUCGCGAGCAAGCUCGCUCCCACA